AGUUGAGAGCUUGCUUUUUAAGUAGUGGCGAACGGGUGAGUAACGCGUGAGUACCUGCCCUAGAGUGGGGGACAACAGUUGGAAACGACUGCUAAUACCGCAUAAGGCCGCAUGACAAAAGAUUUAUCGCUUUAGGAUGGACUCGCGUCCAAUUAGCUAGUUGGUGAGGUAACGGCCCACCAAGGCGACGAUUGGUAGCCGGACUGAGAGGUUGAACGGCCACAUUGGGACUGAGACACGGCCCAGACUCCUACGGGAGGCAGCAGUGGGGGAUAUUGCACAAUGGGGGAAACCCUGAUGCAGCGACGCCGCGUGGAGGAAGAAGGUUUUCGGAUUGUAAACUCCUGUCGUUAGGGACGAUAAUGACGGUACCUAACAAGAAAGCACCGGCUAACUACGUGCCAGCAGCCGCGGUAAAACGUAGGGUGCAAGCGCUGUCCGGAAUUACUGGGUGUAAAGGGAGCGCAGGCGGGAAGACAAGUUGGAAGUGAAAACCAUGGGCUCAACCCAUGAAUUGCUUUCAAAACUGUUUUUCUUGAGUAGUGCAGAGGUAGAUGGAAUUCCCGGUGUAGCGGUGGAAUGCGUAGAUAUCGGGAGGAACACCAGUGGCGAAGGCGGUCUACUGGGCACCAACUGAC
rnacentral:rRNA from 1 species